AGGGUGUAAACGCUGCAGACUUGGUGUUGGAAGCCCUUUGGGGGCAUUCAGUGCCGGAGAGAAGUUGUUAAGUCUGCUACUUGGGAGUACGUCCGCAAGGAUGAAACUUAAAGGAAUUGGCGGGGAGCACCGCAACGGGAGGAGCGUGCGGUUUAAUUGGAUUCAACACCGUAAAACUCACCAGGGAAGACUGUUACAUGAAGGCCGAGAUGAAGACUCUGCUAGAUUUUCAGAGAGGUGGUGCAUGGCGUCAGUGACU
rnacentral:rRNA from 1 species